GACGUAGGGCGCGAGCGUUGUCCGGAUUUAUUGGGCGUAAAGAGCUCGUAGGCGGCUUGUCGCGUCGACUGUGAAAACCCGCGGCUUAACUGCGGGACUGCAGUCGAUACGGGCAGGCUAGAGUUCGGUAGGGGAGACUGGAAUUCCUGGUGUAGCGGUGAAAUGCGCAGAUAUCAGGAGGAACACCGAUGGCGAAGGCAGGUCUCUGGGCAUUAACUGACGCUGAGGAGCGAAAGCAUGGGGAGCGAACAGG
rnacentral:rRNA from 1 species